rnacentral:rRNA from 1 species
CACGGGGGGAGCACGCGUUGUUCGGAAUCACUGGGCGUAAAGGGCGUGUAGGCGGUCAGGUAAGUGGGAUGUGAAAUGCCCCGGCUCACCCGGGGACCGGCAUCCCAUACUGCUUGGCUUGAGUACGGGAGAGGAUGUGGGAAUUCCUGGUGUAGCGGUGAAAUGCGUAGAUAUCAGGAGGAACACCGGUGGCGAAGGCGCACAUCUGGCCCGAUACUGACGCUGAGGCGCGAAAGCUAGGGGAGCAAACGGG